rnacentral:lncRNA from 1 species
GGGGCGGGGCUCCAGGCUUGGGGUAGUCUUCUUUCUCUACGCUCGCUCUGCGGGUUAUUGGUGCUUUUAAGGAAGAGUCCUGAAGCAGUUCCGAGGCUACGUUGAAACCAAGUGGAGUCUGGGGGGCGAACGAGCUGGGGGACUGUACAGACUGCUUUUCGGAGUCCAAGGGCCUGAGCUCCCAGAUCGCUGUGUUCUCCCUCCUUCCCCGCCCCGGAGUGGGAAUCGCCCGCGGCCACCGUCUCCGCUCCUCUCCCGACGCAGCCAGAUUCUCUAUUCUGCCCUUCCCUGUGAGGAGGAAGACCAGCUGAGUUUCAGGGACCUCUUU